rnacentral:misc_RNA from 1 species
CACCAAGCCGAUCUCCACCAAUCUCAUCGAACUCGCCCGCGUCCUGGCAAAGUAGAUUCUGCGGGUCACGCGUCAGUAAACCUUCGCGCCGAUGCCGUAGCCGGAGUCACCCUUGCGGGGCGACAGCAGGAUGAUCUUCCCGCCAGCGUCAGGCGCGCCGAGGAUCAGCACUUCGGACAUGAAGCCCGCGAUGUUGCGCGGGGGGAAAUUGCUCACGCAUAUCACCAGUGAACCAACAAGCUGCUCCGCUCCGCCGUGUAGUUGGUGAUCUGCGCGCUCGACCAUUUUUCGCCGAGGUCACCGAGAUCGACACGCACCUUCCACGACGGGUUGCGCGCUUUCGGAAACGGCUGAACUUC